AAUACGGCAAUUUAGAAAUCAUCUGGAGUCGAGGGGAAAGUGUGCUGGGAUGACAGAAGAGCAUGCGCAAAGAACCUGUGCAUCAAAAGGAGGCUCCCAAUCAGACUCAUCAUUUCCUACGCGAAUGCGAAGGGCCCUCUCCUGACUCUGCCUCUAGCCAUGUCCUUGCUGUGAAUGGAGCCUGCUCAUCCAGCACAGCCCCUCCCAGCGGGUGACCUCCCAGCAAGGCUUCCUGAGCCAGGCCAGAACCACUUUCUGUUGGCUGUGAAUGGCCUGGAGGGGAGCUGAUAAGGACUGGAUCUCUGUGCACUGAGUCUGCAUUUGGUGGUAAUGGAUGAAGCACCCUGGACACAGAC